rnacentral:lncRNA from 1 species
UUCGUUUUAUAUAUAAAAAAAAAACAAAAAUUUAAAAAUUUCCAAUUUAUUGUCAAAUACCACAUUCAAUUCACAUUUGUCUCAAAUACCAUAUAAAAAAAAUAAGUAAUAAUUCAUUCAAUUUUUUGUCAAAUACCACAUUCAAUUCACAUUCGUCCCUAAUACUAAGUUUUGACACAUUCCAUUUGAUUGUCUUAUGACUAAUACUAAGUUUGACAAAAGUAAGCACUAAUGAACAAAACAAACACUACCAGAUGUUUACAAAUUCAAUUGUCCUCAGGAUUAUUGGGGGGAGCAUGAGAUUGAUUUCCAGACAUAUUUAUCAUCCACAUAACCAUUUCCAUUUGUGCUUGCAUUUGUUGUUGCUGUUGUUCCAUUGUAGAAACUUGUGCGCGCAACCUAUCAACCUAAAAAAAUGGCAAUACAAUUCAAUACUUAAACAAUAUUAGCAAUGUACUUUAGUUUAUUACUAGCCGUUUACCCGCGCUAAGCGACGGGUGCAAAUAAUUUCUUUUACAAAUUAGUUUUUUGAGACGAUUAGUUUUUUUAAACAAUUAUAAUGAUUUUAUAAUUUUUGGAAAUUUGUUGCUUUAACAAAAAACUAAAUAAGGAAAGGAUACUAGGUCUAUUUGUAAUGUAAGCAAAAUACAUUACGCUGAUUGAAGAUUAAAAUUGUAGUAAAGAUUUUGGCUUACAAAAGGUACACAACAGUACUCACAUGCUUACAAAGAUGGGGCAGUUUGGAAUUCAAUCCUUUCUUCUUGGUAUUAUAUUCAACCUGGAAAAUAAUAAAGAACUUUAACAAAUGUUUGCAUAUUAUCUAAUAAAACCACCAAUCACACAUAAUUUUAAAUUGAAAUAAAAGCUUACUGUCAAAAUUUAGGACUUGAAAUCAUAGGUUGUCUCCUCCAUCAUGGAUUUCAAUGGCAAAAAUCUUGGAUUUAUGUUAUUUCUUCCUCAAAGUCCAAACUAGAGGCAUGCACACUUGGUUUUUCUUCAUCACUUAUAAAGUUUCCAAAUCAUAUUUACAUUCCUCAGAUGGAUUUCCAUAAGCCUGAGGUUUCCUGCGGUGCCCCAAAAAUUUAGAAAUCAUAUAUAGAUAUUCCAUUAUAAGAUUUAUUGCAACAUAAAACGCAUCAAAACACAAAGAUACAAAAAAAGAUUCAUCAAAAAUAAAAGGAAAAUACAACGAAAUUAUGUAUCAGGAAGGGGAAAAAUCCGAUUAAUACUCGUUUUUAUCUUCCGUCUCAGGUUAACGGGCUAAUGCAAGCUUUAUACAACCAUGUUUUCAUCAAAUGCAUUCUUGAAAGCUUUUAUCAUCCUCUCUACCAUCAUCUAUAAGAGAAACCAAGUUUCAUCCCAGUUUCAGUCAGAAACAAAUAGAUGAAAGUACACAUAAACUUUAAAUAGUUAAAUAAGGACUUUUAACAAACACCUGGUGGGCAAACUUUGCAACAUUUAAUAAAGUUUACUAUAUGAUUUUGAACACCUUAAGCCUAUAAAUUCAACAAAAAAUCCAUCCGAUUUUGAAUACCUUAAGCCCAAAUAUUUAACAAAAAAGUCCAGCUCAUAGUCUCUAGUUGAUUCUUCACACCCAAAUCAAAUUAGCAAUAAAUGAUGUGGUUAUCCUUGUAAAGCACCAAUUUCAGAAUAAAAGAUGAAGAAAAAAAGAAACAGUGGGCAGUGUAUGUUUCCUGCAUGAAUUAAUUUCAAAAAAAAUAAAAAUAAACUAGGGUUUUACCUGUGGGGAAGAAUGAAUCGAGCAAAGAGGCCAAGAGAGAGGAGAGCAAUGCGCCGGGGAAGAAAACGAGGGUCGACAACGGCGACGGGCUGCUAGGGGUAGCGACGGCUCGGACGACGGGAAGCUUCAGGCCUUCAGCGAUUUUUUUUUGUUUUCUGUUCGUGGUUCAGCAACGUCGAAGGAGAAGGGGGGUUUUGUUCGUCCAAC